rnacentral:rRNA from 1 species
ACAUGCAAGUCGAACGAAGCACUUCACUUUGAUUCUUCGGAUGAAGAGAGUUGUGACUGAGUGGCGGACGGGUGAGUAACGCGUGGGUAACCUGCCUCAUACAGGGGGAUAACAGUUAGAAAUGACUGCUAAUACCGCAUAAGACCACAGGACCGCAUGGUCCGGUGGUAAAAACUCCGGUGGUAUGAGAUGGACCCGCGUCUGAUUAGCUAGUUGGUAAGGUAACGGCUUACCAAGGCGACGAUCAGUAGCCGACCUGAGAGGGUGACCGGCCACAUUGGGACUGAGACACGGCCCAAACUCCUACGGGAGGCAGCAGUGGGGAAUAUUGCACAAUGGGGGAAACCCUGAUGCAGCGACGCCGCGUGAGCGAUGAAGUAUUUCGGUAUGUAAAGCUCUAUCAGCAGGGAAGAAAAUGACGGUACCUGACUAAGAAGCACCGGCUAAAUACGUGCCAGCAGCCGCGGUAAUACGUAUGGUGCAAGCGUUAUCCGGAUUUACUGGGUGUAAAGGGAGCGUAGACGGAGAGGCAAGUCUGAUGUGAAAACCCGGGGCUCAACCCCGGGACUGCAUUGGAAACUGUUUUUCUAGAGUGUCGGAGAGGUAAGUGGAAUUCCUAGUGUAGCGGUGAAAUGCGUAGAUAUUAGGAGGAACACCAGUGGCGAAG